CUUAGAAAAUCAUCAAUAAUUAAACAUUUUCUACUCUUUCCAUAUAUUUGUUGCAAAAAUUGAUGAAUAGAUAAAUUAUAAGUCACGACUUUAUCAAUCAACAAAGAGCUAAGGUUUUAUCAACCCAGCAUAUAAAACUACCAAACCUAACAUAGAAUUGACAUGGCCAAUUGAUCCAAAAAUGAAACCAUCUUCAAAUUCUACUAAGUUCUUCCUACUAACUCUCGGUCCCUCCUCAAGCCAUCAAAAGUACCACAAUGGAUAGAGACAACUUGGGAUCUUUCUGCCACAAAUCAAACAUCAAAAGCUCAAAUUGCUGAAGAAAUGAAAUACCCAAACUCUCAAACGAAUCCUCGAGCAAAUCUUGCCUCAAAAGAAAUAAAAAUAAAGAAGUACACGACGACUAAUUUCUUAUUCUCGUUUUCAAUCUUCCUACUCUCCCCAUCUCCAAUAAAUUGGCACAAACUGGCCUAAAAUCAAGAAAACGAACAGAGACUAGCGAGAUAGCAAAGGAGUAACGUCUUUUUUUUUUCUUUUUUUUUUUCAGCCGUAUAUCAUAUUCAACACAUUCUUGAGAAAU
rnacentral:lncRNA from 1 species